rnacentral:rRNA from 1 species
UAAUCUGCCCACUGAUUUUAAUUGAAGGGCUGCAGUAUAUUGACUGUACAAAGGUAGCAUAAUCAUUAGUCAUUUAAUUGGUGACUUGUAUGAAGGAUUGGAUGAGAUAUAAUCUGUCUCUUAAUUAUAAAAUAGAAUUUAAUUUUUUAAUUAAAAAGUUAAAAUAUGUUAAAAAGACGAGAAGACCCUAUAGAGUUUUAUAAUUUAAGAUAAUUAAGAUUAUUUAUAAAAUAAAAAUUGAAAUUAUUUUAUUUAUUUUGUUGGGGUGACAGAAAAAUAUAAAAAACUUUUUAUAUAGAAAAACAUUGAUAAAUGAUUAGAUGAUCCAAUAUUAUUGAUUAUAAGAAAAAAUUACCUUAGGGAUAACAGCGUAAUUUUUUUUUUUAGUUCACAUAAAAAAAAGAGUUUGCGACCUCGAUGUUGGAUUAAGAUAAAAUUUAAAUGCAGAAG